rnacentral:rRNA from 1 species
UACAGAGGUCUCAACCGUUGUUCGGAUUCAUUGGGCGUAAAGGGUGCGUAGGCGGUCUGGCAAGUCGGAUGUGAAAUCUCAGGGCUCAACCCUGAAACUGCAUUCGAUACUGCUAGGCUUGAGUACUGGAGGGGAGACUGGAAUUCAUGGUGUAGCAGUGAAAUGCGUAGAGAUCAUGAGGAAGACCAGUGGCGAAGGCGGGUCUCUGGACAGUUCCUGACACUGAGACACGAAGGCCAGGGGAGCAAACAGG